rnacentral:misc_RNA from 1 species
UUUGCUAUACUCACCCUCAGAAACUUCCAGGAGUGAGCAAAGACGGGCAAAUCCGGCAUUUUUUCCACCGACCAUCAAAGGCCUACACGACCGGAACAAGAAAACGGCGCAAAGUCCACACCGACGAGGAAGGCAACGAGACACGUUGGCACAAAACCGGGAAAACCCGACCGGUAUUCAUCGGCGGCGCCGUCAAAGGUUUCAAGAAAAUCCUCGUCCUUUACACCAACUACGGCCGCCAAAGAAAGCCGGAAAAAACCAACUGGGUCAUGCACCAAUACCACCUCGGCAACAACGAGGAAGAGAAAGACGGCGAAUUAGUCGUGUCCAAAGUUUUUUACCAAACCCAGCCCCGACAAUGCAGCUCCACCGCCGCCGCCACCAACAACAAUAAUCCCCUUCUCCAAUCAGAAAUCAAAUUCAAAAAUGCCGCCAACCACCACCGCCACCACCCCGAUUCCACCGCCACCGGCGCUGUCGAUUAUUACAACGCCGCGGCAUCCAAUAAUAAUACUAAUUUCAUUAGUUUCGAUCACAACUCCG